GUGCCAGCCGCCGCGGUAAUACAGAGGGUGCAAGCGUUAAUCGGAAUUACUGGGCGUAAAGCGCGCGUAGGUGGUUCGUUAAGUUGGAUGUGAAGUCCCCGGGCUCAACCUGGGAACUGCAUCCAAAACUGGCGAGCUAGAGUAUGGUAGAGGGUGGUGGAAUUUCCUGUGUAGCGGUGAAAUGCGUAGAUAUAGGAAGGAACACCAGUGGCGAAGGCGACCACCUGGGCUCAUACUGACACUGAGGUGCGAAAGCGUGGGGAGCAAACAGAAUUAGAUACCCUCGUAGUCC
rnacentral:rRNA from 1 species